UUUUUUUAGUUUUUAAGGGGCGAAAACAGUUAUGUUCGAUUUUUUACGAUAAAUAUGA
rnacentral:tRNA from 1 species